GAUGAACGCUGGCGGCGUGCCUAAUACAUGCAAGUCGAACGCUGAAGGAGGAGCUUGCUCUUUCCGGAUGAGUUGCGAACGGGUGAGUAACGCGUAGGUAACCUGCCUGGUAGCGGGGGAUAACUAUUGGAAACGAUAGCUAAUACCGCAUAACAGUAGAUAUUGCAUGAUAUUUGCUUGAAAGGGGCAAUUGCUCCACUACCAGAUGGACCUGCGUUGUAUUAGCUAGUUGGUGAGGUAACGGCUCACCAAGGCGACGAUACAUAGCCGACCUGAGAGGGUGAUCGGCCACACUGGGACUGAGACACGGCCCAGACUCCUACGAGAGGCAGCAGUAGGGAAUCUUCGGCAAUGGGCGGAAGUCUGAACGAGCAACGCCGCGUGAGUGAAGGAGGUUUUCGGAUCGUAAAGCUCUGUUUUAAGGGAAGAACGAGUGUGAGAGUGGAAAGUUCACACUGUGACGGUAACUUACCAGAAAGGGACGGCUAACUACGUG
rnacentral:rRNA from 1 species